UAACUCUUCCCUCAGUUUGAAACUUCCCCAAUUUAAAAGUUUCGCGUCCUUCCAGCCCCGUCAAUUCUCAAAGAACUGCAAUUCUCAGAGAACUGCAAUUCUCAUUCCUUCUUCGUUCUAGAUCACGACGGCAUGAAAUGGAUCUAAAUGAGCCUGCAAUCGAAGAGUUACGGAUGAUCCUCGACUCAAAUCAACUGACAAACAAUGAGGCAAGUGAGGUAAGUAUUCAAUCAAAUAUAAUUCUGAAUAUUCAUCUGUCUUCUGUCGAUCACAAUUGUUGGCAGUGACAUUCAUAUUCAUACAGUCCAACUCGGUUCCACAAGAAUCAGUAUAACAACAAUCCUUUGUUAACACCUCAGAAAGAAGUACAAUGGACAAACAAUAAAUUUUGCAGGGACGAAGCUACAUUAUGAUGUUAGGGGGCAACCCCUACAAACAAUCUCUGUAGAGUAGUGGUAUUGUUGUUGGUUUUUAGUUUGAGGGCACUGGUUCAAAACCCAACUGCACGCCUCCAAUUAGCAGUAAUAAAGUCAAUCCGAUCCACAUAUAUGUAUUUCCAACCGGCACAGAUUGUAUCUUCAAUCCUAUCUCACCACAAUUAACAUGCUCAUGAACCCCAAGUUCCAUAACGAUAUAAAAUGCACUUUCGAAAUCAAACAUUUUCAACACUAACUUCUAACUCGCCCCUUGGCAACCCAUAAUCAAACUGAACAGUAGUUUUGGUCAACAUCAAAUCUUGACCAAAAAGAAGGUGAAUGGACUUACUCCUACCAUCAUAAUGCAGUAGUAACUCAUCCACAACCCGACUACAGAUUUGGUGCAGCCGACUAGAAGCAAAUGCACCAAUUCCAUACUCUUCUGCAACUACAAUCUUAGCUGCAUCCAUGUGCAAAAAGCUCUUGCAUACACUGUUUGUAGCACAUCAACUUGAAAAUUUUGGUUGACAUCUAAAUAAAAGCAAUGCCUUGUGAGUUAUGAUCGCUCACUGAAAGUACCAAAAAAAAACAUGAAUACUUCUUCCUAUCUAUGAUUUCUAUAGAGACUUCAAACAAACAAGUUAUAAUUCUCCAACGUUGUACUACUACUGCCAACUAAUACUCUAGUUUUUUACCUAUAUAGCCGCAUUCUAGUAUAAACUCAAAGACCAACGUUACAUAGUAAACAUGCUCCAAUAUGUUUCUGUCAUCACAAAAAUGUAUAGUAUAUCUCCAG
rnacentral:lncRNA from 1 species